GACAGAAGGAGCAAGCGUUAUUUUUCAUAAAUGGGUGUAAAAUGUGUGUAGGCCAAAAUAAACUUUUUUAAAAAAUUUUUACUUUGUAAAAAGUUCAGUUUUAAGUUUAUUACGAUUAAUUUUAUAUAAAUUCUAACAAUUUUUCUGACCAAAAGUAAAAUUUGCUCGAGAUUGAAAGGAAUGCCAAUUGUGAAAACAAAAUUUUAGGUAAAAUUGUAGCUGAGACACGGAAACUUGGGGAGCAAAAAGG
rnacentral:rRNA from 1 species